CGGGACGGGUGAGUAACGCGUGGGUAACCUGCCUCAUACAGGGGGAUAACAGUUAGAAAUGACUGCUAAUACCGCAUAAGACCACAGCACCACAUGGUGCAGGGGUAAAAACUGAGGUGGUACAAGAUGGGCCCGCGUCUGAUUAGCUGGUUGGUGAGGUAACGGCUCACCAAGGCGACGAUCAGUAGCCGACCUGAGAGGGUGACCGGCCACAUUGGGACUGAGACACGGCCCAA
rnacentral:rRNA from 1 species